rnacentral:rRNA from 1 species
GACGAACGCUGGCGGCGUGCUUAACACAUGCAAGUCGAACGGAAAGGCCCUGCUUGCAGGGUACUCGAGUGGCGAACGGGUGAGUAACACGUGGGUGAUCUGCCCUGCACUUCGGGAUAAGCCAGGGAAACUGGGUCUAAUACCGGAGAGGAGCCAUUUUUAGUGUGAUGGUUGGAAAGUUUUUUUCGGUGUAGGAUGAGCUCGCGGCCUAUCAGCUUGUUGGUGGGGUAAUGGCCUACCAAGGCGGCGACGGGUAGCCGGCCUGAGAGGGUGGACGGCCACAUUGGGACUGAGAUACGGCCCAGACUCCUACGGGAGGCAGCAGUGGGGAAUAUUGCACAAUGGGCGCAAGCCUGAUGCAGCGACGCCGCGUGGGGGAUGACGGCCUUCGGGUUGUAAACUCCUUUCGCUAGGGACGAAGCUUUUUGUGACGGUACCUAGAUAAGAAGCACCGGCUAACUACGUG